AGUGAACGCUGGCGGUAGGCCUAACACAUGCAAGUCGAACGGCAGCACCGUAAGAGCUUGCUCUUACGGGUGGCGAGUGGCGGACGGGUGAGGAAUACAUCGGAAUCUACUUUUUCGUGGGGGAUAACGUAGGGAAACUUACGCUAAUACCGCAUACGACCUACGGGUGAAAGCAGGGGAUCUUCGGACCUUGCGCGGUUGAAUGAGCCGAUGUCGGAUUAGCUAGUUGGCGGGGUAAAGGCCCACCAAGGCGACGAUCCGUAGCUGGUCGGAGAGGAGGAUCAGCCACACGGGAACGGAGACACGGUCCAGACUCCUACGGGAGGCAGCAGUGGGGAAUAGUGGACAAUGGGCGCAAGCCUGAUCCAGCCAUACCGCGUGGGUGAAGAAGGCGUUCGGGUUGUAAAGCCCUUUUGUUGGGAAAGAAAAGCAGCAGGUUAAUACCCCGCUGUUCUGACGGUACCCAAAGAAUAAGCACCGGCUAACUUCGUG
rnacentral:rRNA from 1 species